GUGCCAGCAGCCGCGGUAAGACGAACCGUCCAAACGUUGUUCGGAAUCACUGGGCUUAAAGGGCGCGUAGGCGGGCCAGCAGGUCCGGGGUGAAAUCUUUCGGCUUAACCGGAAAAGUGCCUUGGAUACCGCUGGUCUAGAGGGAGGUAGGGGCAUGUGGAACUUCUGGUGGAGCGGUGAAAUGCGUUGAUAUCAGAAGGAACGCCGGUGGCGAAAGCGACGUGCUGGAUCUCUUCUGACGCUGAGGCGCGAAAGCCAGGGGAGCAAACGGGAUUAGAUACCCCUGUAGUCC
rnacentral:rRNA from 1 species